AACUAAACCCGACAACAGCGGAAAUCCUUUUUGUUGCCCCUUCAGAUAGAAUCAGGAUAACAGUAACAAAAAGAUUGUAGCGAAUGGCGGGGCUGCGU
rnacentral:sRNA from 1 species